rnacentral:rRNA from 1 species
GAUGAACGCUGGCGGCGUGCCUAAUACAUGCAAGUCGAGCGAACGGACGAGAAGCUUGCUUCUCUGAUGUUAGCGGCGGACGGGUGAGUAACACGUGGAUAACCUACCUAUAAGACUGGGAUAACUUCGGGAAACCGGAGAUAAUACCGGAUAAUAUUUUGAACCGCAUGGUUCAAAAGUGAAAGACGGUCUUGCUGUCACUUAUAGAUGGAUCCGCGCUGCAUUAGCUAGUUGGUAAGGUAACGGCUUACCAAGGCAACGAUGCGUAGCCGACCUGAGAGGGUGAUCGGCCACACUGGAACUGAGACACGGUCCAGACUCCUACGGGAGGCAGCAGUAGGGAAUCUUCCGCAAUGGGCGAAAGCCUGACGGAGCAACGCCGCGUGAGUGAUGAAGGUCUUCGGAUCGUAAAACUCUGUUAUUAGGGAAGAACAGAUGUGUAAGUAACUGUGCACAUCUUGACGGUACCUAAUCAGAAAGCCCCGGCUAACUACGUG